CUUGUUUCUGGCAAGACUAGGCCAUCAGCAGAUCGUUUUUGAAGCUCCCUGUGUUGCAUGCCUGGUCUCUCGUCGUUGUUUCUGCCUGUUUCUCAGCUACGCUGGAUCGCUUCUCUCCUGGGACCCCACCCACUAACCUCUCCACUGGAUCGCCCAUCUCAGUUCCUGCGUCACACUCUCCUGCUGUCCAAUUCCACCUCUACUUCCUGGCCACCCCUGACGUUAUCUCUCUGCAUCCAGUUGUCCUAUUGGUUUUCCUCUUAUCAUCUGUAUCACAAUUCACUGAAAUAUAUUUCACAUGCAUUUGCUUCCUCGCCC
ensembl:lncRNA